CUCAGAGAGCUCCUCUAUGUCUCUUUUCAUGUAGUCCAGGGAGGUAUAUCUCAGGUCAUUCACACCAGCAUGGACAAUGACUGAGUCAUAUUUGUACUUGCCUUGGAGAGACCUAAGUGCUUGUGUUAUGUGGCGGAUCCUAGCGCCCGACAGGCUGCUCA